CCUACGGGUGGCAGCAGUGAGGAAUAUUGGUCAAUGGGCGAGAGCCUGAACCAGCCAAGUCGCGUGAGGGAGUACUGCCCUAUGGGUUGUAAACCUCUUUUGUCGGGGAGCAAAAGCCGGACGUGUCCGGCUGUGAGAGUACCCGCAGAAAAAGCAUCGGCUAACUCCGUGCCAGCAGCCGCGGUAAUUCGGAGGAUGCGGGCGUUAUCCGGAUUUAUUGGGUUUAAAGGGGGCGCAGGCGGAUUUUUAAGUCAGCGGUAAAAUCGUGGGGCUCAACCGCGUCCAGCCGUUGAAACUGGGGAUCUAGAGUGUGCGAGAGGUAUGCGGAAUGCGUGGUGUAGCGGUGAAAUGCAUAGAUAUCACGCAGAACCCCGAUUGCGAAGGCAGCAUACGGGUGCACAACUGACGCUCAGGCACGAAGGCGUGGGUAUCGAACAGGAUUAGAUACCCUUGUAGUC
rnacentral:rRNA from 1 species